GUUUAUACGAUGUGCCUCGUAGUGACUAGCUAUGCAUCACAGUGACCAGCAGUUUCUAAGAGACAGAAACAACAGCAACUGGAACAGAAACUAUCAUUACCGCAGCAACUAAGAAACUAAAGUAUACUGGUGGGGCAGCACUUUCUGCUACAACUCGACUUGUCUCAUUUUCAGGUUGCUAGUGAUUUGGGUUAAGGUCAUAGUCCAUAAGAAAACAGAAAGGACAGAAGCCAAGCUUUUUAGCUUACCUAAUGAGGAGAGAAGAACUAAAAUACUCCUUAGGGAUCAUCACCUCAAAGAGAAGGUUUGUGAACGCUGCCAUUACACAGAGCUAGAUCACCCUUCCUGGAUGAAACGGUAUGGCCUUCAGACAUGCUGCUUUCUCCUUGGCUUCUUUCCCUGCGUCAUGGAGUGGCCUUGCCUUGAGAAAUGCUGCUCCUCGUUACCCAUGAAAACAGCCAAGCUGCACUUAGUAAAUGCCAAUCUGAGUAUUUUCACCUAUUGCGGGGGCCUCUGGAACAUAACUCCCAUGACAGGUGAGGGAUCACUGCAGUUCAUGAUGCCAAAUAUCACAUGAUCUCAACUGAACCAGUGGCUCUUUUCUCUCUCUGCCUCUCCCCGUCGCCCUUCUUUUCUGUCUCCCUCUCUCCUCCUCUCUCUGCGGGAUUGUGGUUGAUUGUCUCCCAACAAGAGGUUAUGGAGGAGACCUCAUCUGCAGAGGAGGAGGAGAAAAAGGUAGUGGAAAUCCCUCACAUCAAAUGAGAAUAGGAAGAAAUGUAAAAUGUGGGAGACACUGUAAAAUUUUGUGGAAAAUCACUACCAG
rnacentral:lncRNA from 1 species